AGUAUUUUGGGUGCUAUAAUGACAACUGGUCAAGAGCCUUGGACUUUCAAGAUGGAAAUCCACAUAAUGAGAUGUCGACACAGAUUUGCUACCAAUUUUGCUCAAAACAAAAUCAAGUGUUUAAGUAUUUUGCAACAGAGAAUGGAAACGAAUGUUAUUGUGGUAAUGGAGAAAAAUUAGGCAAAGGUCCAUAUAAAGCUUCAUCUGGGUGUACUACGGUUUGCGGAAAUAACCGAGACGAUAUAUGUGGUGGUGGUUGGAAAUUGUCGGUAUAUAAUAUGAAUACAGUUAAACAAACAGCCAAUGGUGUGCUUACUAAUACCAAGACAGCCAUUAACUGCAGGCAUAAUGCUGGUGCAAAAGAUAUAAAUGUAACGUUUCAAAAUUCAUCUGGAACCUGCAAAUCUGUUACAACUACGAAGAACAAAGUGCUCCCGUUAAGUCCCGACAAAAUGUACAUUGGUAGAGACUAUUGUUCUCUUCUUGAGAAUAGUGCUGAAUUAAGAGACGACCUGUCUUGCUACGAGCCAAUAUAUGCGACUUUGAAUUAUUCUU